UACGGAGGGUGCAAGCGUUAUCCGGAUUCACUGGGUUUAAAGGGUGCGUAGGUGGGCUAGUAAGUCAGUGGUGAAAUCUCCGGGCUUAACCCGGAAACUGCCAUUGAUACUAUUAGCCUUGAAUACCGUGGAGGUCAGUGGAAUAUGUCAUGUAGCGGUGAAAUGCUUAGAUAUGACAUAGAACACCAAUUGCGAAGGCAGCUGGCUACACGAAUAUUGACACUCAGGCACGAAAGCGUGGGGAUCAAACAGU
rnacentral:rRNA from 1 species